CAUGGGCAGGUUGAAGGUUGGGUAACACUAACUGGAGGACCGAACCGACUAAUGUUGAAAAAUUAGCGGAUGACCUGUGGCUGGGGGUGAAAGGCCAAUCAAACCGGGAGAUAGCUGGUUCUCCCCGAAAGCUAUUUAGGUAGCGCCUCGUGAAUUCAUCUCCGGGGGUAGAGCACUGUUUCGGCUAGGGGGCCAUCCCGGCUUACCAACCCGAUGCAAACUGCGAAUACCGGAGAAUGUUAUCACGGGAGACACACGGCGGGUGCUAACGUCCGUCGUGAAGAGGGAAACAACCCAGACCGCCAGCUAAGGUCCCAAAGUCAUGGUUAAGUGGGAAACGAUGUGGGAAGGCCCAGACAGCCAGGAUGUUGGCUUAGAAGCAGCCAUCAUUUAAAGAAAGCGUAAUAGCUCACUGGUCGAGUCGGCCUGCGCGGAAGAUGUAACGGGGCUAAACCAUGCACCGAAGCUGCGGCAGCGACACUGUGUGUUGUUGGGUAGGGGAGCGUUCUGUAAGCCUGUGAAGGUAUGUCGUGAGGCAUGCUGGAGGUAUCAGAAGUGCGAAUGCUGACAUAAGUAACGAUAAAGCGGGUGAAAAGCCCGCUCGCCGGAAGACCAAGGGUUCCUGUCCAACGUUAAUCGGGGCAGGGUGAGUCGACCCCUAAGGCGAGGCCGAAAGGCGUAGUCGAUGGGAAACGGGUUAAUAUUCCCGUACUUGGUGUUACUGCGAAGGGGGGACGGAGAAGGCUAUGUUGGCCGGGCGACGGUUGUCCCGGUUUAAGCGUGUAGGUGUGUGUUCCAGGUAAAUCCGGUUCACUUUAACACUGAGGCGUGACGACGAGGCACUACGGUGCUGAAGCAACAAAUGCCCUGCUUCCAGGAAAAGCCUCUAAGCAUCAGGUAACAUCAAAUCGUACCCCAAACCGACACAGGUGGUCAGGUAGAGAAUACCAAGGCGCUUGAGAGAACUCGGGUGAAGGAACUAGGCAAAAUGGUGCCGUAACUUCGGGAGAAGGCACGCUGACACGUAGGUGAAGUGAUUUACUCAUGGAGCUGAAGUCAGUCGAAGAUACCAGCUGGCUGCAACUGUUUAUUAAAAACACAGCACUGUGCAAACACGAAAGUGGACGUAUACGGUGUGACGCCUGCCCGGUGCCGGAAGGUUAAUUGAUGGGGUCAGCGCAAGCGAAGCUCCUGAUCGAAGCCCCGGUAAACGGCGGCCGUAACUAUAACGGUCCUAAGGUAGCGAAAUUCCUUGUCGGGUAAGUUCCGACCUGCACGAAUGGCGUAAUGAUGGCCAGGCUGUCUCCACCCGAGACUCAGUGAAAUUGAACUCGCUGUGAAGAUGCAGUGUACCCGCGGCAAGACGGAAAGACCCCGUGAACCUUUACUAUAGCUUGACACUGAACAUUGAGCCUUGAUGUGUAG
rnacentral:rRNA from 1 species